rfam:Citrus sinensis cultivar Ridge Pineapple sweet orange scaffold00981_contig_1, whole genome shotgun sequence.
GCAAUGAGUAAUGAUGAUUUGAUUUUGCAUAUACUCUCUGGCUUAGGACCAGAUUAUAACUCAGUAACUACUUACAUUACUAGACAAGUAGGUGCUGGCAAAAUGAAUAUUAAUGAUACUUAUGCAUUGCUUUUUGACU